GCUGGCGGCAGGCCUAAUACAUACAAGUCGAACGGGAUCUGAAGUAGCAAUACUUUGGUGAGAGUGGCGCACGGGUGCGUAACACGUAUGCAACCUACCUUUAACCGGGACACAACCCUCCGAAAGGGGGGCUAAUAUUCCAUGUGAUUAUUUUGUGGCAUCAUAAGAUAAUUAAAGAUUCAUUGGUUAAAGAUGGGCAUGCGUCCCAUUAGCUAGUUGGUGAGGUAACGGCCCACCAAGGCUAUGAUGGGUAGGGGUUCUGAGAGGAUAUACCCCCACACUGGUACUGAGACACGGACCAGACUCCUACGGGAGGCAGCAGUAAGGAAUAUUGGUCAAUGGGCGGAAGCCUGAACCAGCCAUGCCGCGUGCAGGAAGACGGCCCUAUGGGUUGUAAACUGCUUUUGUCAGGGGAUAAACCUAUCUACGUGUGGAUAGCUGAAGGUACCUGAAGAAUAAGGAUCGGCUAACUCCGUGCCAGCAGCCGCGGUAAUACGGAGGAUCCGAGCGUUAUCCGGAUUUAUUGGGUUUAAAGGGUGCGCAGGCGGACUGGUAAGUCAGGGGUGAAAUUCUACGGCUCAACUGUAGGCGUGCCUUUGAUACUGCCGGACUAGAGUUAAGUUGGAGUGGGCGGAAUGUGUUGUGUAGCGGUGAAAUGCUUAGAUAUAACACAGAACACCGAUCGCGAAGGCAGCUCACUAAACUUAGACUGACGCUCAUGCACGAAAGCGUGGGGGAUCAAACAGGAUUAGAUACCCUGGUAGUCCACGCUGUAAACGAUGAUCACUCGCUGUUGGCGAUAUACAGUCAGUGGCUAAGCGAAAGUGAUAAGUGAUCCACCUGGGGAGU
rnacentral:rRNA from 1 species